CCAACACCCAAACCCCAGGGGCUUCUCCCGGGCCCUGCUGGAACCUCCCACUCAGAUCUGUUCUACAGACAUUUCCUGCAGUGUGGGGGAUGCAGAACUGACUCAUCCAUCCAUUCAGUUAGUCAUUAACUUUUUUCUGAGCAUCUACUCCACGCCAGACAACGUGCCAGGUGCCGGGUUUACAGCGGGGAGCAAGGUGCGGCGUCUCGCCUCCUGGAGCUCACAGGUAAGCAAGUCAUUGCCGUGCAGGGUGUGGGGUAAACACCGCAGCAACAGAGAGCAGGGAUGUCCCCCCGGCUGUGGGAGGUGGUCAGGGAAGGCUUCCUGGAGACAGGAGCACCUAAGGAUGAGUAGGGGUGCAUCAGGUGAAGGAGGGAGCAAGGGGGAGAGGUAUGCCAGAUCGAAGAGCCUUGAGCUGACAGGGUACAUGGGGCGUCCAGUGCCCCCAGAUAAGCCCCACGUGGUUGAAAUAGUGGCUGAAGGGGGAAGUAAUGCAGAGACAGACCAGGGAGGGAAAUAAGAGAAGACUGGGCAAGUCUCAUGGGGAGCUUCUCAGGCUUGACCCUGGGGAUGGUCUGUGGGAGUGACCCGUCCGAUGCUGUCUUUAGUAAGGCCUCCCUGGCCCCUGUAACAACGGGACCCGCCACAACCCAGGCGCCACUCAGAGAGCGGCCGCCACCGCUCAGGGUCCUGCUCUGAGCAUUCAUCUGCGUGGGCUCAUGCACCGCUCAGGGAUUCCCAGGCAGAAAAGGCUGGCAAUCCUGCUUUACAGAAUGAGGACAGUGCAGCUUGUACAGGGCAAAUGACUUGUCCAAGGCUGCGGGUGGCCUCCAGGGCAGGCCUGGGCCCCAGAGAAGUUACAGCCUUGGUGUUGGGGCAGGAAUGGCGGGGUGGGGCAGAGGGGAGGGCAAAGAUGCAGUGAUUCCUCCAAUCUGCGUUUAACCCAGAGUACAGACCAAGGCCAUAGGCUUGUGGGAGAAGUGCAUCAUUUUGGCCCGAUCAGGGAAGGCUACCUGGGGGAGGCAUGUGAACGGGAUAGCAGAAGAGCAGGAUUUGGAUGGGCGGAGCAGGGGAAGAUGAGGGCAUCCUAGACAGAGGGAAAGGCACUAGCAGAGGCUGGGAAGCAGGAAGGUAGCGUGCGGUGGGAGUGACAAGUCACUGGGAGAAGGGCAGGGAGAUGGGCUGGCUGGGGCUUCAGUGAGGAGGACCUGGCAGUAUGGUCUUGGAGCUGGCUUCAGGCAGCCUCAGAAGGCAUCCCAGAGAAUGGCCUUUCUGAGAAUGCCUGUGUUCCCACCAGCAGCCCCUUCCCAGUCUCUGUGGUGCUCUGCACUUAAAGCAGGAGAAAGCUCCCAUACAUUAAACAACGAAACAAACAAAGCAGGAGAAAGCUUCCUGCCCCACAGCCCACUGUGAGGACUUUAGAAGCUGCACCUUCUAAUGUGACCAACUCUGGUUCUGGUGCCCAGGCAAAGGGAAAUGCAGAGAAGGGAGCCGGGGGGACAGGAGGACAGGCUGGGCGGCUGGCAGGAAGACCCCGGCCAGGGGUGGCAGGGGAUAAACACCCACCUGAGCCCCUCCCAGCCACCUUGUGCAUGGCUGCUGACAUGGUCAGCCCAGCCUCAGGUCACCCUCCACCCCUCCCUCCACCCUUGGCUGCCAGAGAUCCCAGCCUCCACCCUCCCCCUGCCUUAAUUACAGGGAGGCUGGGCCCUACCCAGGCAGCUACAGGCACCAGGCUUGCUGGCUCUCCCACUUAGUGGGUGUGGGGGCUAGGCUGCCACGUGGGGAGGGAUCUAGGAGUGAGGGUCAGGCCCUGGGACCACCAGCCAAGCAGUGAGCUCAGGUACAGCUGUCCUGUCAGCUCUCCGGGGCCCUUGUGCUUCUGGGGCUUCCAGGGACACUUUCUAGAUAGAGUUGGGGAGUUGCUGAAAUAGACCCUCUAGGUUUAUAUUCAGACUCUGUCACUUACUAAUGGGGGGGGGGGACAUGAACUAGCACCCUUGGGAGUCUCAUUGGUAGAAUGGGGCUCCUCAUAGCGCUUCCUCACGCAGUGGUCUGAGCUGUAGGGUAGGGCCAGGCCAGGCAUGUCUGAGGUACUCAGUAAAGGGUGAUGCUCAUUCUUAACCAAACUUUUAGCAUCCUGCCAGCCUAGGGGAGGGGUAAGGCAGUGGGGGAGAAUAUGAGCCCAUUGUACAGUCCGGAAAGCUGAAGCUUUGAAAGAAGGGACUUUCCUUGAGAGUCUCAGAUGGGCUCAAGACACACCCCUCCCUAGGCUAUGCCCCAGGACCGAUGAGGCGGGAGGUGGGGCUCAGUGGGAGGGGAACCUGGGUUCCAGGUCUGGCUGUGCCCCCAAGCACUGCUGUGGGCCAGAGCCAGGCAUUUACUUCCCUUGCCAGUGCUUUCUCAGGUCAAGGUCAGAGCUGGAUAAGCCUGGUGGCUCCCACCCCUUCCCAAUUCAUUUCUUCUGUUUUUAUGAAUUAGGUAUGUUUCUGUGCAACCAGAGUCCUGAGCUGAGGGGUUCGUUUACAAUAGAUGUGUCUGAGCACUGGUCUCCAUAGCUUCCCUUGGUGACACAACAAUGCAAAACAGAUCUAUCUCCUCCUAUUUAGGAGCUGCAAGGAGCUGUGCCACACCUGCUUUGAGCCGUUGCCCCAUUGAUGGACACCUAGGUUAUUGCCAGUCAUUCAGGAUGAGAAACAACGCUGUGAUGAGUAUCUUGAACAUACUCUGUGCACAUCUGUCUUAUGACCUCCCUAGGGUAAAGCCCUAGGCAGGAACCUUCUAGGUCGAAAAGCGGCAGCAUUUGUUCAUUCCUGGAGUGGCAACCAAGGGCAUUCUAGCAUCAUCUGGUUCUUUGGCCCCUUCUACCAAUGGUUAUGAAGUGCUGAUUUGAGAGUCUCAGCAGUGUCUGCUAGCCCUGGCUUCCUGCAAGCUCCAUGCUGUGCCCCCAGCACCUAGAGCAGCGCCCGGGACAGCGGACCCUCACAACUCAACCCUGAAUCUUGCCUCCGAAGCACAUGGAUGCAUCCCCUUUGACCGUUAUACUGGCCACUGAGCACAGUGCGGUGGGCUGAGCUACCCUUCACCAGCAGCUUUCCACUGAGGGACAACAAGGCUGGUCCCUGUCUCAUAUGAUUGAUUCCAAGCAGUGCUGCCAACCCUCUCGGCACACGUACCUAUUUAUAUGUACCAGUGCUAGCAUUUCUGUUGGACAGAUUCUCAGGAGCAGAUAUGCUGUGUCAAAAGGUACCAGCACUUAAAAUUUGGAUCAGUGUGGCAUUCUGGAGCACUUUCUCCUUGCUGCUGGGAAUAAGCAUUGCGAAUCCUCUGGGAUCUGGGGAGUCCUGGAAGGCCAGUCAGGAUCUGGGACCUCAGCAUCUCAAGGACUCUUAAAUGACUCUGGGUUCUGGAUGAACAGGGUUGCCUCAUCUUGCCUCUUGCCAGAGACAACAAUUGCCUGUCAAUACCCUGAUCUAUCCCUCUACCUACCUGUCCACACAUCCAUCCAUCCCCCCCAUCCACCCACAUACCCAUCCACCUACUUAUCCAUCCAUCCUUCCACCUGCCCACAUACCUUUCUACAUAUCUACCCAUCCACCUGUCCAUCCACCUACCCAUCCAUCUAUCCCUCCAUCCCCUCAUGCCCUCAGCCACCCAUUUAUCCACCCACCCAUCCACCUACCCAUCCUUCUAUCCCUCCCUCCACCCAGUUACCCACAUUCCCUUUCACCCACCCAUUCACCUACUCAUCCAUCCAUCCAUCCAUCCCUCCCUACCCACCCACUCAGUCUUCACCAUCUAGUGAAGGAGAGUAUCCACAUGCCAGAUACUGAGAAUAUAGCCAGGAACACAAGACAAAAAAUCCCCGCCUUCCUAGAUUUACAUUCCAGUGGAGACAUAGUAAACACACAUGAUAUGUUGGGUGGUGGUAAGGCGGAAUGAAGGGCCCAGGAAGCGCUGGGAGUCAGGUCCUGCUCUCUGAGCAGAAAUCUGACAGCAAUGAGAGGGGAGCUGUGCAGAUAUGAUGGGCGGAGGGAACAGCCAGUGCAAAGGCCAAAAGGUGGGGAUGUUUAGGGAAUGACACCGAGGUGGAGGAAGAGCAGGUCAUCUCCCGCGGGUCCCCUUGGAAAGGAAGGGCUUGGCUGUUACUCCGAGUGAGGAGGGGAUCUGUGGAAGCUCUGGGCAGUAGGGAGUGACCUGACUCACAGCUAGCUGCUGGGUUGGAAAUAGACCAAAGGGGGCCAGGACUGACAUGGGGAGAUGGGUCAGGAGGCCACUGAACUUGACCCAACAAGACAGACUGGACUAGGUGGUUGGGUGAAGGUGGUGAGAGGGUGGGACUUGACUGUGCUUGGAAGGUAGCCACGAGCCUUCCUGAUGGACUGACAUGGGGUGAUAAAGAGAGGAAAGGAUGACAGCAAGGUUUAGGGCUUUAUGAGCCAGGAGAAUGAAGCUAGAAGCAGCGGAAGUCAGAGGAAGACAGUUUGAGCUGAGGCCCUGAUUGUACUUGCCCAGCUAGAGGUGGGCCCUAGUCAUCCAGGGCAGAGAGUGGAGACAGACCUGGGGACCGCCAGGUGCAGGUGGAAUUUCAAGUCCUGUGCCUGGAUGCCAGCACCAAAGGAGAGGCGGGAGAGGACAGAGGAGGGCUGGGAGCCCAGUCCUGGGAUGUGCCUGCAUCAGGGCGCAGGGAGAUGAGGAAGAGCUUGAAAGAAGGAACAGCCUCUACGAGGAGGAAGGCCCAGACAGCAGGGACCUGGAAGCCAAGGGGAGAAGGGAUUUCUGCAAACUGGGUCAGGGGUGCUGAGCAGCCAAGUGAGCUGGGGACACAACACUAACUACUGGCUUUGGCAACACAGUGGGAUCCAGGCAGACAUGAGAAAGCCCAGGUAACCAUGGGAGCCCUAAGGAAGAGUACUUGACCUGGGAGGGCUUCCUGGAGGAGGAGGUGUCUAAUCAGAACCUGAGGGAUGCAGACACUUUUGCCAUGCAGAAAAGGGGUGUCCAGGCUGAGAGGUCAGCACAGCGUCAAGAGGAGAGAGCAGCCAGCUCGUUUGGGGACCUGAAAAUCAGAAAGUCUGGCUGUACUGCGGAAUGCAGGAGGGGUGAGGGGCCGAUGGAGAGGGAAGUACUGUCCUCACAGGACCCUGGAGAGCUUGGCAAAGUAGAUGGUGGGGUCCUUAACCAGAGACCAAGUUUGGGGGAUAGGUGAGUGUUAGGGGUGCAGUGUUGGGAGUGGGGAGUCAGGAGGAGAAGCAAUUUGGAGAAAGGUGAUAAAUUUGAAGAGUUUAGGGUGUUGGGGGUGCUCAGGGGGAGAUGUCCAAUGUCAAUGUGACACAUGGACUGGACCUCUGAGUCUUGGAGGGACCAUAUGUACUGGGAGGACGCCGGGCAGAGCUGCGUGGAGCUGAGCCACUUGCCCGCCUCUUUCUUUGGCGCAGCGUGAGGCCAGCCUGCGUCCAGCCACCUGCUGCAUGCUGUGCUGGGGCAGGGUCCCCGCAGCUUCUAGACAUUGUGGCUUAUCCGGCUGGCCAGGUAGCAGGAGCCCAAGGGGGGGCCAGCGGUUCCUCCGAAUGAACUGUUGUAACCGUGCCUUUUCCCUCCUGUCUCCGUCCUCCUCCUGUCGGCAGCCCAGAGUGCCUUUGCCAAAUCCCUCAGGCACCACAAAAAGAAGGGGGCCCCACCAUUCCAUGUACGCUUUUCAACAUCCAAGGGACGCUGAUUUAUGGACCACCCAGGAGAUGCCAUUCUGGCUGCGGAAGAGCAGGGAUGACACUGGUGGACAGGCUUCUGUCCUCAAGAGGCCCAUCCUCCACUGGGGGGGGGGGGGGGACAAUAAAUGUAUAAUUAAAGUCCAGUGUGGUAUUCAGAGAGAUAAGCUUGGGGGCCAGCAGGGAUCAGAGGUGCUUCUAGGAGGAAGCAACGCUUAAACUAUCGAUCUGAAGGAUGUUGAGUCAGAGUUCGACAAGGAAAAACUGGAGGGUGCAAAAGUAUUUGAGUGAGUGGGAACAGCACGCUGGAGGCUCCGAGAUGAGAGAGCACGCCAGGGGGGAGGGAAUGAAAGGAUUCGGUGUAGUGGAGCAUGGGGCGCCUCCAGGAGGCAGCGGUUUGGGGGUAUGGUGGUGGUGCAGAACCUCGGCAGUCAGGCUUAGGAGUGCAGACUUUCUCCUGAGGGCAGCGGGGAGGUAUGCAGUGUCCUAAGCAGGCAAUGACAUGGUCAGAUUUUCGUGUGGGAGAAUUCAGAAGCAGAGAUCAGAAACACCCAACCUUAGCCCAGAGACACCCAGGGUCAUCUCAUGGGAGGCAAGACCCCUCCACCCUCUUGUAGCUCCCUGGACGGUGAGGAGGGUCCGUAUGGC